rnacentral:rRNA from 1 species
AGCGAACGCUGGCGGCAGGCCUAACACAUGCAAGUCGAACGAACCUUUCGGGGUUAGUGGCGGACGGGUGAGUAACACGUGGGAACGUGCCUUUAGGUUCGGAAUAACUCAGGGAAACUUGUGCUAAUACCGAAUGUGCCCUUCGGGGGAAAGAUUUAUCGCCUUUAGAGCGGCCCGCGUCUGAUUAGCUAGUUGGUUGAGGUAAUGGCUCACCAAGGCGACGAUCAGUAGCUGGUCUGAGAGGAUGAUCAGCCACAUUGGGACUGAGACACAGCCCAAACUCCUACGGGAAGCAGCAGUGGGGAAUCUUGCGCAAUGGGCGAAAGCCUGACGCAGCCAUGCCGCGUGAAUGAUGAAGGUCUUAGGAUUGUAAAAUUCUUUCACCGGGGACGAUAAUGACGGUACCCGGAGAAGAAGCCCCGGCUAACUUCGUG